GGGGAGCGUUCUGUUGUAGGUUGAAGUAUUAGCGGAAGCGGAUAUGGACGAAGCAGAAGUGAGAAUGUCGGCUUGAGUAACGAAAAUAUAGGCGAGAAUCCUAUACCCCGAAAACCCAAGGUUUCCUCCGGAAGGUUCGUCCGCGGAGGGUAAGUCAGGACCUAAGGCGAGGCUGAAAAGCGUAGUCGAUGGACAACGGGUUAAUAUUCCCGUACCAUUCUUUAUUGAUAACGAGGGACGGAGAAGGCUAAGCUGGCCGGAUAUUGGUUACCGGUUUAAACGUUCGAGAUGAUGAGAGACGGCGAAAACGUCUUGAGUUGAGGCGUGAAUACGAGAUGCUACGGCGUCGAAGCAGUGUAUGUCAGACUUCCAAGAAAAGCUCGCAAUGUCAUAAAUAAAGAAUGCCUGUACCAUAACCGACACAGGUGGGUAGGUAGAGUAUACUAAGGGGCGCGAGAUAACUCUCUCUAAGGAACUCGGCAAAAUAACUCCGUAACUUCGGGAGAAGGAGUGCCUUCUUGAAGAAGGUUGCAAUAACAAGAUCCAAGCAACUGUUUAUCAAAAACACAGGUCUCCGCUAAGUCGAAAGACGAUGUAUGGGGGCUGACGCCUGCCCAGUGCCAGAAGGUUAAAGAAGCUGGUUAGCAAUAGCGAAGCUGGUGACUGAAGCCCUGGUGAACGGCGGCCGUAACAAUAACGGUCCUAAGGUAGCGAAAUUCCUUGUCGGGUAAGUUCCGACCCGCACGAAAGGCGUAAUGAUUUGGAUACUGUCUCGGAGAGGGACUCGGUGAGAUAGACCUGUCUGUGAAGAUGCGGACUACCUGCACCAGGACAGAAAGACCCUAUGAAGCUUUACUGUAACUUGAAAUUGAAAUUGGACUUUAUUUGCGCAGUAUAGGUGGAAGGCGUUGAGAUUACUCUUGCGGGAUUAGUGGAGCCAUCAGUGAGAUACCACUCCUAUAAUGUUAGAUUUCUAACUUUGGAUCAUAAUCUGGUCAAAGAACAGUUUCAGGCGGGCAGUUUGACUGGGGCGGUCGCCUCCCAAAUGGUAACGGAGGCGUACAAAGGUUUCCUCUGAACGGGUAGAAAUCGUAUCUAGAGUGUAAAGGCAUAAGGAAGCUUGACUGUGAGACCUACAAGUCGAGCAGGGACGAAAGUCGGUCUUAGUGAUCUGACGGUGCUGAGUGGAAAGGCCGUCACUCAACGGAUAAAAGUUACUCUAAGGAUAACAGGCUGAUCUCCCCCAAGAGUUCACAUCGACGGGGAGGUUUGGCACCUCGAUGUCGGCUCAUCGCAUCCUGGGGCGGUAGUACGUCCCAAGGGUUGGGCUGUUCGCCCAUGAAAGCGGUACGCGAGCUGGGUUCAGAACGUCGUGAGACAGUUCGGUCCAUAUCCGGUGUAGGCGUUAGAAUAUUGAGAGGAGCCUUCUUUAGUACGAGAGGACCGAGAAGGACAUACCUCUGGUGUACCAGUUAUCGUGCCAACGGUAAACGCUGGGUAGCUAUGUAUGGAGAGGAUAACCGCUGAAAGCAUCUAAGUGGGAAGCCCACCUCAAGAUGAGUAUUCUCAC
rnacentral:rRNA from 1 species